rnacentral:lncRNA from 1 species
GUUGUCGGGUCGGUCGUUCGGUCCGAGCAGGUACGACAGGGACACCUAUGCUCCAGGACGGCCCGCAGAAAGAGGGUUGGUGGACAAAAAGAUAUCUAGUGGAUUGAAAUUUUCACAACUAUAUAUUAGAAAAAGAUAUAUUCAGUCCGAUUUGAAUUUGGACAAUUUCAUAUUCCUAUACGGAAUCUAUAUUAGCUAUUGAAGCUAAAUGGACUGGAUACAUGACGGACAUAAAACUAAGAGUGGACUGAAAUUUUCAUUGUAGAUAUUAGGUAAAGAUUUGAUAAUUAUUAUCCAAUUAUGGACUAAUUAGGCUCAAAAGAUUCCUCUCGCAUAUUACAGAUAAACUAUAUAACUAGUUUUUGUUUUCGUCCAUAUUCAAUACUCCAUGUAUUGUCCAAAGAUUCGAUGUGUUAAGGAAUCUUGAAAAAAUUUUAGGAACUCAACAAUGCCUUAAUUAUUUUCUUCCCUCACUUGCUUCAUCAAACUGGAUCUAAGUCAAUUGGCUUCUUGGACCAGAUAGCAGGCAAGGCAGUAAAAUCUAAAGUUGCUGACAUUAUCACAUGAUGAUGUAGUAAAAUCUAAAGUUGCUCACAUUAUCACAUAUUCCAUGUUAUUUGAAGGUAAAAAAAGUCAUAGCUCCUAAAUCAAGUAUACUAACUAAAAUCUAAUUGCACCAUCAUGUUUCUUGCAAUAAACUCUUCAAAAUAAAAUCCCAUAAAGAUACAUUUCAAUAAAAAAUUUCUCAUAAUGAAUAUGUAUAUGAAGAUAAUCAUCAAACAUCACAAUAACCCAACACGAACAUCACAAAAAAAACAUAUAACAUCGUAUGUAUAUUACGUGAACAUCACAUAUAUAAUAUAAUAUAAAAAAUAGUGAAGUAAUUAAUUAUAGUCAAAUAAAAAGAGAAAAUAUACUACCGAACAUCACAAAUAAUAUAGUAGAACAUCACAUUAACACUACAUGGACAUCAAAAAAUAUAGUAUAGAACAUUAUAUGUAUACAAUGUGAACAUCACAUAUAAAAAAAAUAAAAAAAUAAGAAGACAAAAAAAUAGUUAAGUAAUUAACUAUAGUCAAAUUAGAAAAAUAAAAAAUGCUACUGAACAUCAUAAAUACAUCAUAGAACAUCACAUUAACAUUACACAAACAUGAAAAAAAUAUAGCAUGA